rfam:Deltaproteobacteria bacterium CG2_30_66_27 cg2_3.0_scaffold_696_c, whole genome shotgun sequence.
CCACCGGUGGAAGUCCGGUCCGGGUAAGCGCCGGAGCGCCCGGUAGCAGGCACCAGUAUACGGGAGAGAUUUCGUAUGCCAAGCGGUGCGUCGAAAGCCUCGAAGUCGGAGGGAGCGAAGGAGCGGGCCGCAACAAAG